rnacentral:lncRNA from 1 species
ACCUUGAGCGGGAAGCAGGGCGGCUGCUGAACGCAGCUGGUCUCGCAGUUGACGCCAGUGACGAAGGAGGCCCGGGCGGCCGGCUCAGGGGUGAAGUCGAGGUCGUGGUCCAACAGCUGGCCCCAUUGCAUGAACAUGAGUGAGCGCUCCUGGUCCGGAGUCAGCUGAUCAGUGGGGAAGCGCACGAUCUCGUUGGAGACCGCGCGAGCCUGCGUCACCAGAGCCACCGGGAAGCCGUUGCGCUUGACCCCGGGCGUCCAGCCGUAGGGAAGAGAGAAGCCGUCCUCAUACUCCGCCGGCAGCCAGCGCACAAAGGCACGGUUGGAGGCCCCCAGCGUGGGGCUGCGUCUG